rnacentral:rRNA from 1 species
CCUACGGGUGGCAGCAGUGAGGAAUAUUGGUCAAUGGGCUUACGCCUGAACCAGCCAAGUCGCGUGAGGGAAGACUGCCCUAUGGGUUGUAAACCUCUUUUGUCAGGGAGCAACGCCGGCUACGUGUAGCCGGACUGAGAGUACCUGAAGAAAAAGCAUCGGCUAACCCGGUGCCAGCAGCCGCGGUAAUACGGAUGAUGCGAGCGUUAUCCGGAUUUGUUGGGGUAAAAGGGUGCGUAGGCGGAAUGCCAAGUCAGCGGUAAAAUCGCGGGGCUCAACCUCGCUCCGCAGUUGAAACUGGCGUUCUUGAGUGGGCGAGAAGUAUGCGGAAUGCGUGGUGUAGCGGUAAAAUGCAUAGAUAUCACGCAGAACACUGAUUGCGAAGGCAGCAUACUGGAGCCCAACUGACGCUGAAGCACGAAAGCGUGGGUAUCGAACAGGAUUAGAUACCCUUGUAGUC